UACGAAGGGGGCUAGCGUUGCUCGGAAUUACUGGGCGUAAAGCGCACGUAGGCGGCUUUCUAAGUCGGGGGUGAAAUCCUGGAGCUCAACUCCAGAACUGCCUUCGAUACUGGAAAGCUCGAGUCCGGGAGAGGUGAGUGGAACUGCGAGUGUAGAGGUGAAAUUCGUAGAUAUUCGCAAGAACACCAGUGGCGAAGGCGGCUCACUGGCCCGGUACUGACGCUGAGGUGCGAAAGCGUGGGAGCAACAGG
rnacentral:rRNA from 1 species